CAUAGCGAAUGAUCUACUAUAUGAUACAGCAAGACAACCAGAGGAGGCUGAGAUGCGAUGAUAGGAUAAUCUACGGAUAAAUCUAUCAUCUAUGUUAUAAAGAGUGUGGCCACCGGGCAGCUAUGGGCAGCCAUUAUUGAUGAUGUUUCACUGAGUGCCUCGGCAGUAGGCAAUUGCUUUCUCGAGUCACUCCCACGACAAAUCUACCCCAUCCUCACGUCUGUAUCAAGCCUGGGAGCGCCCUCGCUGGGUGGAUACUCGGACCCUUCAUCAUCGAACAUACCUUCAGGGUCCUCACUAGAGCGGAUCCUCACCCGUUUAGACAUUCUCUGCGAUUCUACAGCGAAUUCUGUGGUGCUACACGGUUGAGCGGACCCAACUGAUGUAUUGGAAUCGUCCAACUUGUGAACUAAAUCAGGAGUCUGGUGUUGAGUGGUUGAAGAAUGUUGGGAUCCCUGCCGAAACGCAUUUAGGCUACCUUUCAAAGAAAAGCUGUCGAUCAGCGUCAUAAUAUAUUCGGGUCGGCCAUCUGAACGUUUGGAUUUAGCCACAUGAGUGGCAUACAGAUCGAUUGUGCCGGCAAA
rnacentral:lncRNA from 1 species